GAUGAACGCUAGCGGCAGGCCUAAUGCAUGCAAGUCGAACGGUGUAGCAAUACACAGUGGCGCACGGGUGCGUAACACGUAUGCAACCUACCUUACAUUGGGGGAUAGCCUUUCGAAAGGGAGAUUAAUACCGCAUAAGACAGUAACUGGGCAUCCAGUAGCUGUUAAAGAUUUAUCGAUGUAAGCUGGGCAUGCGUCCAAUUAGUUAGUUGGCGAGGUAAUGGCUCACCAAGACGAUGAUUGGUAGGGGAACUGAGAGGUCAAUCCCCCACACUGGCACUGAGGUACGGGCCACACUCCUACGGGAGGCAGCAGUAGGGAAUAUUGGGCAAUGGGCGCAAGCCUGACCCAGCCAUGCCGCGUGCAGGAAGAAGGCGUUAUGCGUUGUAAACUGCUUUUAUACAGGAAGAAACGACCCUUGCGAGGGGCAUUGACGGUACUGUAUGAAUAAGCACCGGCUAACUCCGUGCCAGCCGCCGCAGUAACAC
rnacentral:rRNA from 1 species